rnacentral:rRNA from 1 species
UGGAGGCCCGGGGCGCAAUGAAAGCAAAUGUGGGCGCAAGCCGACCGAGUUGGGAUCCCCGGCCCCACCUGGGACGCACCAAUGACCCCCGUCCUAUCCAGCUCUCCGGAUCGGCGGAUGUGAGAGUACACGUUGGGACUCGAAAGAUGGUGAACUAUGCAAAAAGACAGGACAAGGCCAGAGGAACCUCUGUUGGAGGUCCGCAGCGGUUGUGACGUGCAAAUCGAUCGUCAGAUCCGGGUCUAGGGGCGAAAGACCAAUCUAACCAUCUAGUAGGUGGUUCUCUCCGAAGUUUUCCUCAGGAUAUCUGGCACUCGUCGAUCAGUCUCUUCCGGUAAAGCGAAUGAUUAGAGGCCUUGGGGCCGAAACGAUCUCAACCUAUUCUCAAACUUUAAAUGGUUGAGAAGACCAUUGCGACGUUUUGCACGAUCGAAGGCCGGUCGUUCGGAUGAGAGUGCCCAGUGGGUCACUUUUGGUAAGCAGAACUGGCGCUGUGGGAUGAACCAAACGCCGGGUUACGGCGCCCGAUGCGAGACGCUCAUGAGACCCCAUGAAAGGUGUUGGUUGCUCCAGACAGCAGGACGGUGGCCAUGGAAGUCGGAAUCCGCUAAGGAGUGUGUAACAACUCACCUGCCGAAGCAACUAGCCCUGAAAAUGGAUGGCGCUCCAGCGUCGAGCCCAUACCCGGCCGCCGCGGCAGAGCUCCCCCCGGAGGUUUACGCCGCGGUGAGUAGGAGGGUCGCGGCGGGGAGCGUUGAAGGUGCCGGGCGCGAGCCCGCCUGGAGCCCCCGUCGGUGCAGAUCUUGGUGGUAGUAGCAAAUACUCAAGUGAGAACCUUGAGGACUGAAGUUGGAGAAGGGUUCCAUGUGAACAGCAGUUGAACAUGGGUCAGUCGGCCCUAAGGUAUCGGAGAAGUCCGUUCCGAAGCGGGACCUUGACCCGACUGUCGAAGCAGUCCCGCGCCGGCCGAAAGGGAAUGGGGUCAAUAUUCCCCGACCCGGACACGGAGAUCGGGCCCUCGGGCCCAAGUGCGGCGACGCAACCGAACUCGGAGAAGUCGACGGAGGACCCGGGGAAGAGUUGUCUUUUCUUUGUAAGGGUUCGUGUCCCUGGAAUCGGCUCGUCCGGAGAUAGGGACGCUGUUCCCGUAAAAGCACCGCGGCUCUUGCGGUGUCCGGUCCGCCUCUGUCGGCCCUUGCAAAUCCGAGGGAGAUGGUGUUAUUUUCGUGCCGGACCGUACCCAUAUCCGCAGCAGGUCUCCAAGGUGAACAGCCUCUAGUCGAUA